UGAGGUAGUAGAUUGUAUAGU
rnacentral:ncRNA from 7 species